rnacentral:lncRNA from 1 species
GGGGCUUGCCGCUCAGGGUCAGGCAUUAAAUGAGCCUAAAGUCCGCGGAGCCUGCAGCGGUGCCGUGGCCCAGGCCAGUAGCAAGUGAGGGGGAGGCUGGACCGGGGGUCUCUGCCUGACCUGGAUGCAUCUUCCAGCGCUGAGCUCCUGACUCACAGAGACUCUGCAAGGCCAAGGGGUUCUUGGGGUCUGGAGAACGUGGAGACCCCGGAGCUGAUGCGAGGCAGCCUCCCCCUGGGUGGGGCAGUGGGUGGCGAAGGGCCCCACCCUCAGCCUGUGAAGCUCCUUCCAAAGAGAACCUGCGGUGCCUGCCCUGCCUGUGCCCACAGGGCUGCAGUUUCCAAUAGAACAGAGGCUGAGGGAACCCGGGAAUGUGAGGUCUCAGAGGCAGCAACCCCACGCAUGUGGCAGCCCCAAGCAGUGAGCGGACUGGGUGCAGGAGGAGGCCCCAACAACGCCCAGAAUUCACGUGGCUUCCUGCAUGAGUUAGCUGCUGCCGUGUAACAAGUGACCCCACAUGCAGUGGCUGGAACAUGCACGUUUACCACGUCUGCUUCCAGGGCUCAGAAACUCAGAGCUGUGGACGUAGCAGGAGGCACAAUUGCGAAGUGGACAGGCUGGUGGUUUCUCAGAGCUCAACUGCAGGGCAUGUGUGUGCAUAGGUGUGUGCCCAGGUGUGUGUCCAGGUGUGUGUGCAGGUGUGUGCACAGGUGUGUGUCCAGGUGGGUGCCCAGGCGUGUGCGCAGGUGUGUGUGCUCAGGUGUGUGCACAGGUGUGUGCAAAAGUGUGUGCCCAGGUGUGUGUCCAGGUUGUGCACAGGUGUGUGUCCAGGUGUGUGCUUAGCUGUGUGCGCAUGUGGGUGUGCAGAUGUGUGCGCAGGUGUGUGUGCAGGUGUCUGCUGAGGUGUGAGUGCAGGUGUGUGCACAGAUGUGUGCAGGUGUGUGCUCUGGUGUGUUGCACGGGUGUGUCCUCAGGUGUGUGCACAGGUGUAUGUGCUCAGGUGUGUGUGCAGGUGUGUGUGGGGUGUAUGCAGGUGUGUGCUCUGGUGUGUGCACAGGUGUGUGUGCUCAGGUGUGUGUGCAGUGGUGUGCACAAGUGUGUGUGGGGUGUGUGCAGGUGUGUGCGCAGGAGUGUGUGCAGGUGUGUGCUCUGGUGUGUGCUCAGGUGUGUGCGGUGGUGUGCACAGGUGUGUGUGGGGUGUGUGCAGGUGUGUGCGCAGAUGUGUGCUCAGGUGUGUGUGCAGGUGUGUGCACAGGUGUGUGCUCAAGUGUUUGCAGAUACGUGCUGAGGUGUGUGCACAUGUGUGUGCUGAGGUGUGUGCGCAGUGGGUGCCCAGGUGUGUGUGCAGGUGUGUGCGCAGGUGUGUGCACAGGUGUGUGGCGUGUGCACAGGUGUGUGCGCAGGUGUGUGGCGUGUGCGCAGGUGUGUGUGCAGGUGUGUGCGCAGGUGUGUGUGGCAUGUGCGCAGGUGUGUGCGCAGGAGUGUGCUCAAGUGUGUGCUGCAUGAGCUUCCGUACUUGCUCCUGGGCUUCUCACUGGCCAGGGCUGGUGUCCAGGGCGAGCCAUCCCAGGCAGAGCACACAGGACGCAGCGUUUACAGCCCCAUUUGGAGAGCACCACCUUCACUUCUGCCUUUGUCCACAAGGGAGGGGCUUGCAUGGGGGAAGAGUAAGCGCUGCCUGCCCGGGGCCCUGGAUGUAGAGCGGCCUGCAGCCAGGACUCCUGUCCGGUGUGUUUGGUGUUGCUGUUUUCCUGGAAGCCUCUGAGUCCCAUCUGUGGGUUUGCUGGUACUGGUGGCUGGCUGGUUAAUGGUAUGAAGUAGAGCAGUUUUGAGAAGAUCUGCAUUUCGUUUUAGCUUCAUGCAGGCACACACGACCCUGCGGGGCCAGGAGAGCAAUUGCGGAGAAGGCUGCGCCCUGAGGCGGCAGAGCUGAGGCCAACAGCAACCGCAGAAGUGUGGGGCUUGUCCUCGUGCUGCUCCUCAGUGUUCCUCCUCAUUUUCACAGACACAGCUCCGUGCUUUGCACGCAUUUCACCAUCUGUGUCAUAUGUAAUUAAACUGCAUCCUUGCACGGCCAAAGCUCUGGCCUGCGUCUGAGUGACUGGCGUCCCGACGGUGAACCAGGGUUUCCUGUGUGGACGCAGGACUUU